GAUGAACGCUGGCGGCGUGCCUAAUACAUGCAAGUCGAGCGAACAGACGAGGAGCUUGCUCCUCUGACGUUAGCGGCGGACGGGUGAGUAACACGUGGAUAACCUACCUAUAAGACUGGGAUAACUUCGGGAAACCGGAGCUAAUACCGGAUAAUAUAUUGAACCGCAUGGUUCAAUAGUGAAAGACGGUUUUGCUGUCACUUAUAGAUGGAUCCGCGCCGCAUUAGCUAGUUGGUAAGGUAACGGCUUACCAAGGCAACGAUGCGUAGCCGACCUGAGAGGGGGAGCGGCCACACGGGAACUGAGCCACGGUCCAGACUCCUACGGGAGGCAGCAGUGGGGAAUCUUCCGCAAGGGGCAAAAGCUUGACGGAGCAACGCCGCGGGAGUGAUGAAGGUCUUCGGAUCUUAAAACUCUGUUAUAAGGAAAGAACAAAUGUGUAAGUAACUAUGCACGUCUUGACGGUACCUAAUCAGAAAGCCACGGCUAACUACGUG
rnacentral:rRNA from 1 species